GUGCCAGCCGCCGCGGUAAGACGAAGGGGGCUAGCGUUGUUCGGAAUUACUGGGCGUAAAGCGCGUGUAGGCGGUCUGCUAAGUUGGGUGUGAAAACUCUGGGCUUAACCCAGAGCCUGCACUCAAAACUGACAGGCUAGAGUUCUGGAGGGGAUAGCGGAAUUCCUGGUGUAGCGGUGAAAUGCGUAGAUAUCAGGAGGAACACCGGUGGCGAAGGCGGCUCUCUGGACCGAUACUGACGCUGAGGCGCGAAAGCGUGGGGAGCAAACAGGAUUAGAUACCCUGGUAGUCCACGCCGUAAACGAUGGAUGCUAGGUGUCACGGGUAUUGACUCCUGUGGCGCCGUAGCUAACGCAUUAAGCAUCCCGCCUGGGAAGUACGGCCGCAAGGCUAAAACUCAAAUGAAUUGACGG
rnacentral:rRNA from 1 species